UUGGGGCACGGGAAUGAGAAAGGGACUGGGGGAUUGGGGUGGGGAGUGCUGGGAUCAGGCACAGAAAUCAGGGAGAGCUGGGACUGGGAUUGGAUUGGGAUUGGAUUGGGACUGGGAUUGGAUUGGGAUUGGGAUUGGGAUUGGGAUUGGGAUGGGAUUGGGAUGGGAUUGGGAUGGGAUUGGGAUGGGAUGCCAUCCCCAUCCUGGAAUGCCAUGGGAUCACCCUGGGAUCACCCUGGCUCCGGUGGGAUCACCCUGGCUCCGGUGGGAUCACCCCGCAGAUCCCGUACGGGAAGAAAUACGACAAGUCCUGGCUGCUGAGCUCCAUCCAGAACCUCUGCAGCGUCCCCUUCACCCCCGUCGAGUUCCAUUACGAUCACAACCGGGCCCAGUUCUACGUGGAGGACGCGACCACGGCCAGCGCCCUCAAGCAGGUGUCCCGGAAAAUCACCGACAGGGACAACUACAAGGUGGGGAUCGGGGGGAUCCGGGGGGAUCCGGGGGGAUCCGUGGGAUGCAAUGGGAUCCGUGGGGUGGGAUUGGAUCUGUAGGAUCCACAGGAUCCGCAGGGUGGGAUCGGAUUCGUGGGACAGGGUGGGAUCUGUGGGAUGGGAGUUGAUCUAAUGGAUGGGGUGGGAUCCAUGGGAUUGGAUCCAUGGGAUGGGAUCGGGUCCAUGGGAUGGGAUGGGAUCCUUGGGAUGGGAUCCUUGGGAUGGGAUCCAUGGGGUUGGAUCCUUGGGAUGUGAUCGGGUCCAUGGAAUGGGGUGGGAUGGGAUCCAUGGGGUUGUAUGAGAUCCAUGGGAUGGGAUGGGAUCCAUGGGAUGGAAUGGGAUGGGAUUGGAUCCGUGGGAUGGGAUCCGUGGGAUGGGAUCCAUGGGGUCCGAUCCAUGGGAUGGGAUCCUUGGGACGGGAUCGGGUCCAUGGAAUGGGAUGGGAUUGGAUCCAUGGAACGGGAUGGGAUCCUUGGGAUGGGAUCCAUGAGAUGGGAUCCAUGGGAUGAGAUCCAUGGGGUUGUAUGAGAUCCAUGGGAUGGGAUUGGAUCCAUGGAACGGGAUGGGAUCUAUGGGAUGGGAUCCAUGGGAUGGGGAUGGGAUCCAUGGGACAGGAUGGGAUCCAUGGGACAGGAUGGGAUCCAUGGGAUGGGAUGGGAUCCUUGGGAUGGGAUCCAUGAGAUGGGAUCCAUGGGAUUGGAUCCUUGGGGUGGGAUCGGGUCCAUGGGAUGGGGUCAGAUCCAUGGGGUUGGAUCCACGUGAUGGGAUGAGGAUGAGGAUGGUCAGAACAGGCCGGGAAUUGGGGCUGGGAACGGGGCUGGGAAGGGGGGCUGGGAAGGUCCUGGGAAGGUUCUGGGAAGGUUCUGGAAGGUCCUGGGAAGGUCCUGGGAAGGUCCUGGGAAUGUU
rnacentral:lncRNA from 1 species